AAAUUAGACAUACAGUUGUUAGUAAUUCUUUGGGAGAUUUGCAAAACUACCCUUAUUCUAAUAACUUUUUGUAAAAGUGCCCUUUCCUGAAGGCCAUUUUUAAAACUACCCCUUCUAAUAUGGCAAAUGAUUGUCUUACCCUCUGAAUGAUUAGGUUUCACAUUCGUUUCACAAACUUCUUCGUUUUGGCACAAACUUCUUCGUUUUCCUCUCCGAUUUUCCUCUCCGAUUUCAUUCAAAAUCGCCGGCGAAUUUCCUCUCCGAUUUCACUCAAAAUCGCCGACGAAUUUCCUCUCCGAUUUCACUCAAAAUCGCCAACGAAUUUCCUCUCCGAUUUCACUCAAAAUCGCCGACGAAUUUUCUCUCUGAGAAACCCCAAAAUCGCAGACGAAUUUCCUCUCCGAUAAACCUGUUCUUCUGUGAAGGAUUCAGAUCAUUUCUCUACGACGCAAACAAUCCCCAGAGAUAUCGAUAGAUCCGACGGUAACCGUUUUUAUAAUCGAUUUUAUAGUCGAUUUUAUAGUCAAUUUUAUAGUAGAUCUGACGCUGUUUCAUAACAUGUUUUGCACAUGGAUUCAGAGAGUGAAAUCCUUACAUUGCCUGAACAAAUCUACAGAGAAGGUGAGGAAUCUAUUGCACUGGGAACCGUUCAACAAUACUCGAAUUGGAAUUUAGUUAGUAAAGUAGAGGAAGCUUUAGGCGAGUGUUUAUUUCAGAAGAUUAGAAGUUCAUUUCUUGGUCCUCUAGUUGAAUUGGGACCAAAAAUGAAGGCUAAGAAGGGAAUCAGAUUUUCUGGAAAAAUCUUUCACUAUCUCAUGCAGCAGAGAGUGAAAACAAAAGGAUCAACUCUUUGGUUUAGAGUUGAUUCUCAACCUAUCCGUUUCUCCUUGAGAGAGUUCUAUCUCACAACAGGUAAUAAAGUUUUACAAUCGUUUUUAAAGCUUAAUUAACUGUCGUAGAAUGAUUUACAAGGCAUUUGCAUAACUGUUUGCGUAGUUUACAAUCGUUUUUAAAACAUAAGUAAGUGUCAUAGAUAAUUUACAAGUGAUUUUAAAAGCUUUUAAAAGGGGUUUACUUCAUUAACAAUCGUUUAAGAAGCAUAAGUUAGUGGCAGAUAAUGAUUUACAAGGGAUUUUAAAAAGGGUAUGCAUGGUUUACAACCGUUUUUAGGCAUAAGUAAUUAGCAUAGAAUAAUUUACAAGGAAUUUUAAAAGCUUAAAGAAGUGUUAAACACGUUUACAAGGGAUUUUAAAAGCAUAAGUAAGUGUCUUAAAACGAUUUACAAGGGAUCUUAGAAGUGUUUGCAUAGUUUACAAUCGAUUUUAAAACAUAAGUAAGUGGCAUAGAAUAUUUACAAGGGAUUUUAAAACCUUUUCUAAGGGUUAAACAUGAUUAGCAAUCGUUUUUUAAGCAUAAGUAAGUUGAAUAGAAUGAUUUACAAGGGAUUUUAAAAGCUUUUAGAAGGGUUAAACAUGAUUUACAAUCGUUUUUAAAGCAUAAGUAAGUGUCAUAUAAUGAUUUACAAGGGAUUUUAAAAGUGUCUACAUGGUUUACAAUCGUUUUUAAAGCAUAAGUAAGUGGCAUUGAAUGAUUUAUAAGGGAUUUUAAAAGCUUUUAAAAGUGUUAAACAUGAUUUACAAUCGUUUUUAAAGUAUUUACUAUAAAACCUGUAAUAAUAGUCUCUACACUGUCUUUUGUUCAUACAGGAAUUCAAUGUGAACCUGUUCAUAGGGAACUUCGACGAAAGGGGAAAGAUCCUGUAAAAGAACCAUACUUUUGGGCUAGUAAAGGAUCCUAUACUCUUGGUGAUCUCGAAGAUUGAUUGUUUUUAAAACCUAAGGAAGGUGAACCUGCUGUUGAAGAUGAAGAAAAGUUGUGUCUUGCUGCAGUAGUGUUGACUGAAGGAAUUCUUUUGACACCAUAUGGAAAAGAGAAGAUACCUUUGCCAAGAUUGCAGCAUGCUUCUGAUUUUGAGAUGUACACAGCCCAACCGUGGGGUAAAGAAGCAUUCAGUGUUCUAUCAAAUUCAAUUCUGAGAAUGGACGAGAAAACUUGGGCAAAAGAGAAAUAUGAUUUGAGAGGAUUUGGACUAGCGCUAACAAUAUGGGUGUUGAGCGCAGUUCCAGCAUUUGGUGCAGCAUAUGGAGUUAAAGAUAAGGAAUUCCAAUCUGAAUAUCCAUUGAUAUUGAAGUGGAAAAGCACUACUACUCCAGAGUUUUUCAAGAUCGUAAACCUUGUAAAUGAUGUUUCUGAGGUAAGCUUUUGUCUAUUUACAGAAUUCUUUAAAUGGUUUUUAGAUUUGAAGUUCUGCUUUCUCAAGAUUUGUAAUGUUAUUGUAUCUUCGUAGAUGGAGGUGAAUACAAUUAUUGGAAACCCAGAAGAAUUCAAGUCGUUAGUUCCUGAUUUCAACGACACCGAAUUCCAACAUAUUUUGGGACUUGUUAAUAUGGGCUACAGAUUGAAGAAAACUGAAUGGAAUACAAGAUGCGUUGAUGUUUGUGCUGCCCUUGAAGAAGUAGGUCAAAACAAAAUCAAUAACAAAAUAUC
rnacentral:sRNA from 1 species